GAUGAACGCUGGCGGCGUGCCUAAUACAUGCAAGUCGAGCGAACGGACGAGAAGCUUGCUUUUCUGAUGUUAGCGGCGGACGGGUGAGUAACACGUGGAUAACCUACCUAUAAGACUGGGAUAACUUCGGGAAACCGGAGCUAAUACCGGAUAAUAUUUUGAACCGCAUGGUUCAAAAGUGAAAGACGGUCUUGCUGUCACUUAUAGAUGGAUCCGCGCUGCAUUAGCUAGUUGGUAAGGUAACGGCUUACCAAGGCAACGAUGCAUAGCCGACCUGAGAGGGUGAUCGGCCACACUGGAACUGAGACACGGUCCAGACUCCUACGGGAGGCAGCAGUAGGGAAUCUUCCGCAAUGGGCGAAAGCCUGACGGAGCAACGCCGCGUGAGUGAUGAAGGUCUUCGGAUCGUAAAACUCUGUUAUUAGGGAAGAACAUAUGUGUAAGUAACUGUGCACAUCUUGACGGUACCUAAUCAGAAAGCCACGGCUAACUACGUGCCAGCAGCCGCGGUAAUACGUAGGUGGCAAGCGUUAUCCGGAAUUAUUGGGCGUAAAGCGCGCGUAGGCGGUUUUUUAAGUCUGAUGUGAAAGCCCACGGCUCAACCGUGGAGGGUCAUUGGAAACUGGAAAACUUGAGUGCAGAAGAGGAAAGUGGAAUUCCAUGUGUAGCGGUGAAAUGCGCAGAGAUGUGGAGGAACACCAGUGGCGAAGGCGACUUUCUGGUCUGUAACUGACGCUGAUGUGCGAAAGCGUGGGGAUCAAACAGGAUUAGAUACCCUGGUAGUCCACGCCGUAAACGAUGAGUGCUAAGUGUUAGGGGGUUUCCGCCCCUUAGUGCUGCAGCUAACGCAUUAAGCACUCCGCCUGGGGGGUACGACCGCAAGGUUGAAACUCAAAGGAAUUGACGGGGGCCCGCACAAGCGGUGGAGCAUGUGGUUUAAUUCGAAGCAACGCGAAGAACCUUACCAAAUCUUGACAUCCUUUGACAACUCUAGAGAUAGAACCUUCCCCUUCGGGGGACAAAGUGACAGGUGGUGCAUGGUUGUCGUCAGCUCGUGUCGUGAGAUGUUGGGUUAAGUCCCGCAACGAGCGCAACCCUUAAGCUUAGUUGCCAUCAUUAAGUUGGGCACUCUAAGUUGACUGCCGGUGACAAACCGGAGGAAGGUGGGGAUGACGUCAAAUCAUCAUGCCCCUUAUGAUUUGGGCUACACACGUGCUACAAUGGACAAUACAAAGGGCAGCGAAACCGCGAGGUCAAGCAAAUCCCAUAAAGUUGUUCUCAGUUCGGAUUGUAGUCUGCAACUCGACUACAUGAAGCUGGAAUCGCUAGUAAUCGUAGAUCAGCAUGCUACGGUGAAUACGUUCCCGGGUCU
rnacentral:rRNA from 1 species